rnacentral:rRNA from 1 species
GAUGAACGCUAGCGGCAGGCUUAACACAUGCAAGUCGAGGGGCAUCAGGGAGAGGAAGCUUGCUUUCCUUUGCCGAGCGAACCGGCGCACGGAGUGAGUAACACGUAUGCAACCUGCCCUCUUCAGGGGGACAACCUUCCGAAAGGGAGGCUAAUCCCGCGUAUAUCGGUUUCGGGCAUCCGAGAUCGAGGAAAGAUUCAUCGGAAGAGGAUGGGCAUGCGGUGCAUUAGCUAGACGGCGGGGUAACGGCCCACCGUGGCGACGAUGCGUAGGGGUUCUGAGAGGAAGGUCCCCCACACUGGUACUGAGACACGGACCAGACUCCUACGGGAGGCAGCAGUGAGGAAUAUUGGUCAAUGGGAGAGAUCCUGAACCAGCCAAGCCGCGUGAGGGAAGACGGCCCUAUGGGUUGUAAACCUCUUUUGUCGGAGAACAAAACCCGGGACGAGUCCCGGACUGCGUGUAUCCGAAGAAAAAGCAUCGGCUAACUCCGUGCCAGCAGCCGCGGUAAUACGGAGGAUGCGAGCGUUAUCCGGAUUUAUUGGGUUUAAAGGGCACGUAGGCGGUCCGUUAAGUCAGCGGUAAAAUUGCGGGGCUCAACCCCGUCGAGCCGUUGAAACUGGCAGACUUGAGUUGGCGAGAAGUACGCGGAAUGCGCGGUGUAGCGGUGAAAUGCAUAGAUAUCGCGCAGAACUCCGAUUGCGAAGGCAGCGUACCGGCGCCAGACUGACGCUGAGGCACGAAAGCGUGGGGAUCGAACAGGAUUAGAUACCCUGGUAGUCCACGCAGUAAACGAUGAAUGCUGGUUGUCCGGGUCGAAUGAGACCUGGGCGGCGAAGCGAAAGCGAUAAGCAUUCCACCUGGGGAGUACGCCGGCAACGGUGAAACUCAAAGGAAUUGACGGGGGCCCGCACAAGCGGAGGAACAUGUGGUUUAAUUCGAUGAUACGCGAGGAACCUUACCCGGGCUCAAACGGGAGUGGAAUGGACCAGAGACGGUUCAGCCUACGGGCCGCUUCCGAGGUGCUGCAUGGUUGUCGUCAGCUCGUGCCGUGAGGUGUCGGCUUAAGUGCCAUAACGAGCGCAACCCCCGCCGGCAGUUGCUAACGGGCAAUGCCGAGGACUCUGCCGGGACUGCCGCCGCAAGGCGUGAGGAAGGCGGGGAUGAUGUCAAAUCAGCACGGCCCUUACGUCCGGGGCGACACACGUGUUACAAUGGGCGGUACAGCGGGAAGCCAGGCGGCGACGCCGAGCGGAACCCGAAAGCCGUUCUCAGUUCGGAUCGGAGUCUGCAACCCGACUCCGUGAAGCUGGAUUCGCUAGUAAUCGCGCAUCAGCCAUGGCGCGGU